rfam:Camelus ferus unplaced genomic scaffold scaffold1119, whole genome shotgun sequence.
GGGGGUAUAGCUCAGCGGCAGAACGCGUGCUUGGUGUGCACGAGGUCCGGGGUUCAAUCCCUAGUGCCUCCA